rnacentral:lncRNA from 1 species
AACCCCUCAAGUCUGUCGUGGUGAGAGAUAAGCCUCCCCCGUUGCCGUGGUUGUGGUGAAGGAUCAGCUUCCACCGUUGUGGUUAUUGGACCCUCUUUUAUCCUCCAUUUUCUGCUGCCUACGUGACAUUCCUGGGGGCUUGAGCAAGAGUCAUGUGCAUACCUCCUGAGAUGGCCAUUUUCCUUGAGAUAAGUCCCCACAAAAAGACCGUUUCCCGGCCAUUAGCGGCAGCGUAUCUCUCUCUCGAUGCCCCUGGCCUUGUCCAUCUGUGCUCCUUAAAGGAUUUCACAAUCCUUAGCCAGGACCUGUCCAUCAGUGUCCUCAAGACAAAAGAUUUCUCUGCCUUUGCCCAGGACUUGCCUGGACUUGUUCCUCAGCAAACUUUGAGUCAAUGAUAUAAAAGAAUAGUCUCUU